UACGUAGGUGGCAAGCGUUAUCCGGAAUGAUUGGGCGUAAAGCGUGCGCAGGCGGUCUUGCAAGACAGAUGUGAAAUCCCCGGGCUCAACCUGGGAACUGCAUUUGUGACUGCAAGGCUGGAGUACGGUAGAGGGGGAUGGAAUUCCGCGUGUAGCAGUGAAAUGCGUAGAUAUGCGGAGGAACACCGAUGGCGAAGGCAAUCCCCUGGACCUGUACUGACGCUCAUGCACGAAAGCGUGGGGAGCAAACAGG
rnacentral:rRNA from 1 species